GCCAGAUGAUAAAAGAGCACCAGAUAACCCCGACUACGCUAUCAAACGAGCGCGUUCCCUUCUUUGUCCAUAACAACCUAUGGGUCGGGUACGAGGACAGGGCAGCAUUCGCGAAAAGGCCCAGUACCUUCGGGCGGAGGGUCUAGCGGGUGCCAUGGUUUGGGCUAUAGAUCUGGAUGACUUCCACGGAACUUGCGAACAGGGACAAUACCCUAAUGAUGAACGCGCUGAAUUUGAUCAUCAGUCCCGACAAUGCUAUCGUAGGAUAAGCAUGAUACGCGGGAUAUUUGUUUGGGACAUAAUUACCGUAUGUGUGUGUACUCAGAUAGACUAACCAAGUAAAAAAACUAAUUUGUGA